UACGUAGGUGACAAGCGUUGUCCGGAUUUACUGGGCGUAAAGAGCGCGCAGGCGGUCGAUCAAGUCGAGUGUGAAAGCCCCCGGCUCAACUGGGGAGGGUCAUUCGAUACUGAUCGACUCGAAGGCAGGAGAGGGUAGUGGAAUUCCCGGUGUAGUGGUGAAAUGCGUAGAUAUCGGGAGGAACACCAGUGGCGAAGGCGACUACCUGGCCUGUAAUUGACGCUGAGGCGCGAAAGCGAGGGGAGCAAACGGG
rnacentral:rRNA from 1 species